rnacentral:rRNA from 1 species
AGAACGAACGCUGGCGGCAUGCCUAACACAUGCAAGUCGAACGAUCUCUUCGGAGAUAGUGGCGCACGGGUGCGUAACGCGUGGGAAUCUGCCCUUGGGUUCGGAAUAACAGUUGGAAACGACUGCUAAUACCGGAUGAUGACGUUAAGUCCAAAGAUUUAUCGCCCAGGGAUGACGCCCGCGUAGGAUUAGCUAGUUGGUGAGGUAAGGCUCA